GCUUCAUGUAACACUUUCCUUGUUAAACUCCAAGCACUACGUAUCAUUGCUUGCUGUUCUCACUCAACCCUCAGCACCAGCCUCAGCAUCUCGACCCCGACAAGCUCCAGGACCACUUCAACAAUUUCUAUGAAGAUCUCUUUCAGGAGCUCAGCAAGUUGGAAAUGUAUAUGUUCAGUAAAAAGAGGAAGAUCAUGCCCCCAAUGCUCUGAUGAACCUCACUGGAAGAUUUUUUCAGGUACUCAAUUCCCCCCUUUUCUCAUCCAAUUAUGGUUUUUCUCCAUUUUUCCCUUCAAUACUGAGUCCCUGAUUAUGUGAGCUACUGCUUUCAUUAUUCAUGGUUUGGUUCUAAUCCUGUUAUCUUGUGAAUUGUUACAGCUGUAAACUAGUUGGUGGGAUGUUUGUGUUUAUGAUAAGAAAGCCAUUUUCUAGCUUAAAAAAGCCAUUUUUCAAUGUGGGUGUGUUUGUAAUUUGUAAUUUUCUUUGUGUAAGCAAAGUUAAUAAUUUAAUAUUACUGGUUUCAGGCCAAUAUAUUGGAGAUGCUCAAAUGGUUUGACAUUGAGUCAUUUUUAAUUACCUUAUUGUUUGCUGUUAGUAGUACUGAUUUGUUAGUUAGUUUGUGGACAGUCAAGGAAAUGAUCUUAGAAAGAAGACAAUGAACUCUGUCUUCUGGAACUCAAACAUGAUUCAAUGUCUUGAUUACUAGCUCAGAGAUAACACGUCUGAGUACUAUAGCUGGUAAUCAAGUGCCUAGCUAUUUUGUGUGGGAAGUCCUUUUUACUAUGUCCAUCAUGGGAUUGGGACUCUUGCUUUUUGCAAU